rnacentral:misc_RNA from 1 species
GUAGGUGAACCUGCGGAAGGAUCAUUAACACGUAUCCACGUUUGAUCAACCCCCCCCUCUGUGCACCUGAUUAUAUACGUUGUGUCACACAUUACCUGCAUGUGUGUUUGAUGUCUUUGGAUAUUGAACCUCAUGUAUGGUGUGUGGGAUGUGCGUAUUUUUUCACCACCCCCUUUGACUCACCUAACCGAUCCCCAAGUGGACUGAUGUACCCGGCGAGCCACUUUAUUGUGUCUUGUCGAACCAUAUGGAUUUUCCAAAUGAGUAAACGCACAACUCUUAGCAAUGGAUAUCUUGGUUCUC